rnacentral:lncRNA from 1 species
CAGAGAACAAAUCAGGAUCUAGAAAGAGACGAAGAAUAGUACUAUCACAGUCAGAUCCAUCUUCCAAACCCCAAACAUUAUUAGCCAACAAUAUCCGUAACCCCAAAUCAGAGGCCCAAAUCAAGUAUUCCACACCAGAUCAUAAGCCCGAAUUCGUCGACGACGAUGGAGAGAAGAUGGUGACUUGCAGCUCAAAUUCGUCGUUUCAGAAGAAAUAAGUCGAGGUUAUUGGACACACCGGAGCAAGAUGGAAGAUCAAUUCGUCAUUUAGAAGAAAUUGUUAAUGGAUUUAUUGAGGAAUUGCCGGAUCGGUUGAGGAAGAGGAGAUGUAAU